rnacentral:rRNA from 1 species
GAUGAACGCUGGCGGCGUGCUUAACACAUGCAAGUCGAACGGAAAGGCCCAAGCUUGCUUGGGUACUCGAGUGGCGAACGGGUGAGUAACACGUGGGUGAUCUGCCCUGCACUUCGGGAUAAGCCUGGGAAACUGGGUCUAAUACCGGAUAGGACCACUUCUUGGAUGUUGUGGUGGAAAGUUUUUUCGGUGUGGGAUGAGCUCGCGGCCUAUCAGCUUAUUGGUGGGGUAAUGGCCUACCAAGGCGUCGACGGGUAGCCGGCCUGAGAGGGUGUACGGCCACAUUGGGACUGAGAUACGGCCCAGACUCCUACGGGAGGCAGCAGUGGGGAAUAUUGCACAAUGGGCGCAAGCCUGAUGCAGCGACGCCGCGUGGGGGAUGACGGCCUUCGGGUUGUAAACUCCUUUCGCUAGGGACGAAGCGUUUUGUGACGGUACCUGGAGAAGAAGCACCGGCUAACUACGUG